rnacentral:rRNA from 1 species
CCUACGGGGAGCAGCAGUGGGGAAUAUUGGGCAAUGGGCGCAAGCCUGACCCAGCAAUGCCGCGUGAAGGAAGAAGGCUUUCGGGUUGUAAACUUCUUUGACAGGGGAAGAGCAGAAGACGGUACCCUGAAAACAAGCCACGGCUAACUACGUGCCAGCAGCCGCGGUAAUACGUAGGUGGCAAGCGUUAUCCGGAUUUAUUGGGUUUAAAGGGUGCGUAGGCGGGCUGUUAAGUCAGCGGUCAAAUGUCGGGGCUCAACCCCGGCCUGCCGUUGAAACUGGCGGCCUCGAGUGGGCGAGAAGUAUGCGGAAUGCGUGGUGUAGCGGUGAAAUGCAUAGAUAUCACGCAGAACUCCGAUUGCGAAGGCAGCAUACCGGCGCCCGACUGACGCUGAGGCACGAAAGCGUGGGUAUCGAACAGGAUUAGAUACCCCAGUAGUC